rnacentral:rRNA from 1 species
CGCCAGUUUUGGCGGAGCCAUCCUUGGGAUACCACCCUUGUAGUACUGGGACUCUAACCAUAGGCCAUGAAUCUGGUCUUGGGACACUGUCAGGUGGGCAGUUUGACUGGGGCGGUCGCCUCCCAAAAGGUAACGGAGGCGCUCAAAGGUUCUCUCAGUACGGUCGGAAAUCGUACGUAGAGUGUAAAGGCAAAAGAGAGCUUGAUUGCAAGACAUACAGGUCGAGCAAGGAUGAAAAUCGGACUUAGUGAUCCGGUGGUUCUGCGUGGAAGGGCCAUCGCUCAACGGAUAAAAGCUACCCUGGGGAUAACAGGCUUAUCUCCCCCAAGAGUCCACAUCGACGGGGAGGUUUGGCACCUCGAUGUCGGCUCAUCACAUCCUGGGGCUGUAGUAGGUCCCAAGGGUUGGGCUGUUCGCCCAUUAAAGUGGUACGCG